GAUGAACGCUGGCGGCGCGCUUAACACAUGCAAGUCAAGGGGGCCCAGCAAUGGGUAACCGGCGAACGGGUGCGUAACACGUGAGCAACCUACCGAAUUGUGGGGGAUAGCCGGCCCAACGGCCGGGUAAUACCGCAUACGAUCGAGACCAGGCAUUUGGACUCGAUGAAAUCUACGGAGCAAUUCGAGGGGCUCGCGGCCUAUCAGCUAGUUGGUGAGGUAACGGCUCACCAAGGCGACGAUCAGUAGCUGGUCUGAGAGGAUGAUCAGUCACACUGGGACUGAGACACGGCCCAGACUCCUACGGGAGGCAGCAGUUAGGAAUCUUGGACAAUGGGCGCAAGCCUGAUCCAGCCAUGCCGCGUGAGUGAUGAAGGCCCUAGGGUUGUAAAGCUCUUUCAGCGGGGAAGAUAAUGACGGUACCCGCAGAAGAA
rnacentral:rRNA from 1 species